ACCCUUUGUGAACAUACCUAUAACUGUUGCUUCGGCGGGUAGGGUCUCCGCGACCCUCCCGGCCUCCCGCCUCCGGGCGGGUCGGCGCCCGCCGGAGGAUAACCAAACUCUGAUUUAACGACGUUUCUUCUGAGUGGUACAAGCAAAUAAUCAAAACUUUUAACAACGGAUCUCUUGGUUCUGGCAUCGAUGAAGAACGCAGCGAAAUGCGAUAAGUAAUGUGAAUUGCAGAAUUCAGUGAAUCAUCGAAUCUUUGAACGCACAUUGCGCCCGCCAGCAUUCUGGCGGGCAUGCCUGUUCGAGCGUCAUUUCAACCCUCAAGCUCUGCUUGGUGUUGGGGCCCUACAGCUGAUGUAGGCCCUCAAAGGUAGUGGCGGACCCUCCCGGAGCCUCCUUUGCGUAGUAACUUUACGUCUCGCACUGGGAUCCGGAGGGACUCUUGCCGUAAAACCCCCCAAUUUUCCAAAGGUUGACCUCGGAUCAGGUAGGAAUACCCGCUGAACUUAA
rnacentral:rRNA from 2 species